rnacentral:lncRNA from 1 species
GGGGGCUGAAGCGCGAGGAGGCCAGAGGUCAGCCCUCCGAUGGCCACUUAAAGUCAAACGCAGAGAUGGUGACACUUCAGCGUACGUCCCCCAGGAACUAAGACAUUCUCCUGCGUCGCUGCUGUCUUAGUUUGUGCUGCUGUAACAGAAAACCCUAGACUCAGCGGUUUAGAACCAACGGAAAUUUAUUUCUCAGAGUUCUGGAGGCCGGAAGCCCGAGGUCAGAGUGCCAGCAGGUCAGGGGCUGGAGUCAGCCAGUCCCCUCGUCUGUGUGAUGUACGUACGGCCAGCUUAUUUACUCGGGAGGACAGAGGGAAAAAAAUAACAGGAAACCAACCCACAUCAAACAAUGAAGAUGAAUAUCAAUAUUUGUUCCUUUCCGGAUAAGAGGAGUUAUGCACAGUAUUACGUCAUCAUAGCAGCACUUGAAAGAAUCGAAGUUGCUUUGAGCUUGAAGAAUUUCCAGUACAGCAAUUUGGCUGUUGUCAUCUAAAUGAAGUAAAGUUAAAAUAUAGCCUUUUAACAGAAGUAAGUAGAUAUUAUUCGAAGUAUCCAUGGUCGCCAUCUGGAAGCUGUGCUUGUUAUCAAACUUGAGAUCCAGGAACCUGGUCCGAUGCUGCCAGCAGAUGUUGCCAAAUUGCCGUCUAUACAGGAUGAACCACCUUACACUCCUACUGGUAAAAAU